rnacentral:lncRNA from 1 species
UCAGAUACAACAUCAAUCAAAUGUUUAAGCCAGGUGGCGAAGCACUUAAAUGCUUGUGUCACAGUGACAAACUCCUCUAUAGGCACAGGAACAAUGGCAUCUGAUACGACAACUUCAUCCACCGUGACCUUGACCUCAUCUUCUCCGAGCUCCAUACCAUGCACUAUAGUGGCUGCCUCAAAGACUGUGCCACAACCCACUAGCAUGGUCUCAGUAAGAGAGAGAAUAUAUAGCUGAGAUGGAUGAGUG